rnacentral:rRNA from 1 species
UACGAAGGGGGCUAGCGUUGCUCGGAAUCACUGGGCGUAAAGCGCACGUAGGCGGCUUUUUAAGUCAGGGGUGAAAUCCUGGAGCUCAACUCCAGAACUGCCUUUGAUACUGAGAAGCUUGAGUCCGGGAGAGGUGAGUGGAACUGCGAGUGUAGAGGUGAAAUUCGUAGAUAUUCGCAAGAACACCAGUGGCGAAGGCGGCUUACUGGUCCGGCUCUGACGCUGAGGCGCGAAAGCGUGGGGAGCAAACAGG